AGAUGUUUGGGCAUAUUCUUUUUCAUGAUUGAUUACAACAUCACAGAUUUUAUUUUGAGAUAAAAAGGAUAGGCGUGCAGUACACUUCUCCGGAGCAAAUUUGUUCUUGGUCAUAUUUCAUGACAUUUGAGAUCUUAGUCCUCAAGUGGUUUAAAAAAAUACACAACAAGCAUAAACGAUGAAACAAUUGUCCUCUCCCAAGUGUUCAACGUCAUUCAUAGUCCUGCACAUGUACACAUCAACCCACACACGUGCCACUUCUUUAUUUCAACGAACAAUACACAAAAAGGCCAGAAUGAAAGUCAUGUUAAAGACAGACCUACCACAGUGGAGGGCGAUGUGAUAGUGUACUGGAUUAGUGUGUAGACUGUAAAAUGAUUUGCAAUAUUUGAUAGAUAGGUGAGAGGAUGAGAGGGGAAUAGAAAACAUUGAAACCCCAAGAGCAGCAACUCAUUUUAUUCUUUGGUUCAGUUGUGAGACAAUCAGAAACAUCCAUUGUAUUUUGACAUACUGCAUUUCUUAAUGACAAACAAGUCUGAAAGGCACAAUGACGCCAUAAGUCAAGGAAUAACAACGACAGCAGAAGUUACAGGCCUAUAAAUGAAAUAGAGAAACAAGGAGCCCACCUAGUCUGAGGGUCUUGAUCAGCAGGUUAAAAUAUUAACAGAGUUGAUAUGGUCCUUUUCACAGCAACCAGUAAGUUGCUUAAGUUGGUUUAACGCAGCUCGUUCUAACGCAGCUCCUUACAUUGAUACUGGAGGGUAGGUCUACUUGCUUUGGAGUUAUUCAUUAUUAUGCUACAUGGUCAAUGACUUGGUGCCAGGUUUUUUAGCACUAAGAUGAAUGAUACGAUGUGUAUGUUACAGUAUAUUGCAUAACCUUACAUGUACGUCGAUUUCGUAGUCCUUUUAUGAUGUCACUAUUUAAUUCCCUAAAAGUACAAACUCACAGAGGCAUACCAACACAUUGUCAUAUGGAAAAAAAGACCAUAGACAUAUAAAUGUACCUAUUAUAUCAAUAAUAUCAUUAUAUACUUAAUCCACAGGCGGUCGGUGGCACCUUAAUUGGGAAGGAAUAAAUGGAAUGGUAUCAGACACAUCAAACACGUUUUCCAUGUGUUUGAUACCAUUCCAUUCACUCCAUUCCAGCCAUAUGAGCCGUCCUCCCCUCAGCAGCCUCCUGUGACUUAAUACUAAACAAACCUUUGCCUUUUAUGUAAAUACAUUACUCUGAAAAUUCCCUCUGUAACCACUGGAGGGAGAUAUUCUACUAGUAUAGUCCUGUUACUGCUGCAGUGUCUACUGAGCGCUCAGUACAUCCUGGUCUCCACCUAAGGCUUGCAGGGUUGGGGAGUAACUGAUUACACACAAUCCAAUUACAUUCUUUUUUACUUGUAAUCAGCUACCAGCAAAAAUAUUGUAAUCCGAUUACAGAUACUUUUGAAAAACUAGAUGAUUACUUCUUGGAUUACUUUAAAUUCAGAAAGGAUAUGUAAAUUAUACCUUUCUGUUUUCUCAAUGACAUUCAAUUCAAAAUUGAAACAAGGUGGAAGUUUAAGUUUGUUCCUUAGAGAGUCUGUCUACAAGUCAGAGACCACUAUGAUGACACACCAAAUGCGUUUGAUGGAUCAUUUUUGUCUUCUUCUAAUGCCUUUUAAUGGGACGCAGAUUACGUUACUGAGUUUGGGUAAUCCAAAAGUUACGUUACUGAUUACAAAUUUGGACCAGUAACUAGUAACUGUAACAGAUUACAAUGAGAAAGUAAUUUACCCAACCCUGAAGGCUUGCACUAACUGUACUAAUCCAUAGUCCAUGUAUGAUUGUACAAAGAUUUAUACCCCAAGACAAAAAGUUAAAUAUGACUCAUUCAGUUGGGAAAACGAGUUGCUAGUCUACUUAGGAACCUACGUGCCA
rnacentral:lncRNA from 1 species